UAGGUAAAUUGUGAAUACAAAGGAAAAAUUCUUGAAGGACAUUAAAAGUGCUAGUCCAGUGAACACGCAAAUGAUCAGAAAGCAAAAUAGCCUUACUGUGGCUAUGGAGAAAGUUUCAGUGGUGUCAGUAAUAGAUCAAAUCAGACCCAACAUUCUCUUAAACCAAAGCCUAACACAGAGCAAGGCCCUAACCCUUCAA